GCUUUUGCUUUCAUGCAACAUCUAUUCAGGAAUCAAGUCAUUUUGUCCUUUAAACUUAAUAAGCCAGUUGAAGUUGCUGAAAAAACAAUACACUUUCUUGAAAACAUUUGCUUUACUAGCUGCUCAUUGGAUGAUGCCGAAGAUAAAAAACAUAAACUCAACCUUUUUAAUGUUUGGGCUUUUACUUGCUGUGUCCGCACAG